AGUUUGAUCCUGGCUCAGAUUGAACGCUGGCGGCAUGGCUAAAACAUGCAAGUCGAACGAUCCCUUCGGGGAGAGUGGCGAAAGGGCGAGGAAUACGAUCGAACGUACCCCGAGGUGGGGGAUAGCGUCGGGAAACCGGCGGUAAUACCCCAUGUCCUCUACGGAGAAAAGGUUUACCGCCUUGGGAGCGGCGAUCGUCCUAUCAGGUAGUUGGUGGGGUAAAGGCCUACCAAGCCGAAGACGGGUAGCGGGUGUGAGAGCACGACCCGCCGCAUCGGGACUGAGACACUGCCCGGACUCCUACGGGAGGCUGCAGUAACGAAUCUUCCGCAAUGCGCGAAAGCGUGACGGAGCAAUGCCGCGUGCAGGAUGAAGCGUCUACGACGUGUAAACUGCUGUCAGGGACUAGGAACCAUGACCAGUCCCAGAGGAAGGGCCGGCUAAUCUCGUGCCAGCAGCCGCGGUAAUACGAGAGGCCCGAGCGUUAAUCGGAAUCACUGGGCUUAAAGCGUACGCAGGCGGAUCGGAAGGUGUCUUGUGAAAUCCCCCGGCUUAACCGGGGAACUGCAGGGCAAACCAUCGAUCUUGAGGCAGGUAGGGGUCAGUGGAACGAUGUGUGGAGCGGUGAAAUGCGUAGAUAUACAUCGGAACGCCAAUGGCGAAGGCAGCUGACUGGGCCUGUACUGACGCUCAUGUACGAAAGCGUGGGGAGCAAACAGGAUUAGAUACCCUGGUAGUCCACGCCGUAAACGAUGCACACUAGGUCGGGGGAGCUCUCACGCUUUCCCGGCCGAAGGUAA
rnacentral:rRNA from 1 species